rnacentral:misc_RNA from 1 species
ACUACGAUGGUUCCUCCACCUAACUCAGCGCAAAGAUACUUGCCAACUUUGACUGAUUUAAACUGAAGUCCAGUUCCAUCCAAGAAAUCUUUGUUGGGGAUGCCAUCAAAAAGAGAAGGCUUGAUCCAUCCUUCUGUAACAAGCCAACCUCCAAGAUUUACUGCUUUAAUUUUAAAGCUGGGAUUUACUCUACCAUGGGAGAGAGAUACCGUUAAAG